rnacentral:lncRNA from 1 species
CAUAAAGAGGUAUUGAGCAUCUACCAUGGAUGCAGACACUUUUUCUUGACUCCAUGGAAAUUAUAUAAAUUAAUCCUACCUAUAUAAAGCAGAUAACAAUAAAGAUAAAAACUAAGCUUCAUAAUGCUUAUUAAUUACCACCAAUAUUACCCAGCACUAUUCUAAGCACGGCCUAUGGGCAGGGUCACUGAUGAGGGCUCUAUCCUCCCUCUGUGGCCCAGAGGGCAGCAAUGCAUGGACCUACGUCCUGUACCUUAAGCCCUUUACUUCUUUGUGUUUCCAAUAGGUUAUCUGGGUCAGACUCAAGAAUGCUCAUCAAAGGUUAAUUUUAGAAUGAUCUGGCAUUUCAGUAACAACACAGAGGCACUUUAAUUCCUGAUUCAAGGGUAGAUUUUCUUUGAAGACAUAAUUCUGUGGAGCUGAUGAUCUUUUACUUCCUCAGAAGGGAGUAGCCACUAGGGGGAAGAUGGGCAUUGAAGAGGUACCUUGAAAGUUCUGCACUUGAGGUCUUGCUGCCUGUAGGCUUGAGGAGAAGAGGAUAUUGAGUUCACCAGCUUUGGGGCAGACAAGUGCAUGGCCUGUGGUCUUUAGGGUCAAUAGUAAGUGCAGAGGCAAGGCUAUCCCUCAGGAUUAAACUGUGUCAAUGUACCCUAAGGCUGUGGCCUAAAAUGGGGGUCAAUAAAUGAAGCAGAGGGAUGUGGUUUUGGCUCAGUGGUAAAGCACUUGCCUAGCAUGUAUGAGGCACUGGGUUCUAAGCCUCUGCACCACAUAAAAAUAAAUAGAUAGAUAGAUAGAAAGUAAAGGUAUUAUGUUCAUCUACAAAUAAAAAAAUAACCGAAGCAGAAAGUAUUAUUCUCUGUGUUCCUCUAAUACUGCAACUUGGUGGAAUUUUCAGGAACAAACAAACCCAAACUCCUACCAAAGUCUAUAUGCAAAUCCUUAUCUUAAUCCUACAGAAAACUAAAUGCAAAAGUCAUUGUGUCUAAGUAUUGACAAGAUCUGGGGCAAAUUUAUUUUAGUGAAUAGUCUUGUGACAUUUAAUCUUUACCAUUAUCCAUCAAGUUAGAUAACUUUGAUUUUGAGGAAACCAAAUUUAGAUAUGAUACAUGUCAUUCAGUGGUAGGAGCAUAAUAAAUAUUGAUGGUGAUACAGAACAAUUUUUUUCCUUAGCAGCAAGUGCUAAAACUUUUUGAUUGAGGCAUAUUCAUUUUCCUGUUAUUUCCAUAACUAUUUAAUGCUCACUUGCUGGCUUAAAACAAACCAAACGCAUAUCUCACAGUUUUAGGUUGGAAGGCCAACACAAGUUUCACUGGCUAAACUCAGGGUGUUAGCAGGCCUGUGUUCCUUUCUGUGGGCUCCAGUGGAGAAUCUGUUUCCUUGCUUUUCUCAUCCUCUUUGGUCCCUUCCUCCAUCUUAAAAUCAGCAGCAUUGCAUCUCUGUGGACAUUCUUCCAUGGCCACAUUGCUCUGUGACCACAGACAGGAAGGAUUCUGUGCUUUUCAGGACCACGUGAUUAGACUGGCCCCACCCGGAUAAUUCAGUAUCAUCUCCCCACCUCUGAGUCCCCCAACUCAAUCACAACUGCCAAGUCUCCCUUUCCACAUAAGGAAAUAUAUUCACAAAUCCCAGAGAUCAGGAUACAGACAUCUGGGGAGACUCUAAUUCUGCCUACCACGGAGUAUUUUUCCUGGACUUUAUUUCAUUCUUAAAACAUGAAGAAGAAGGUCAAAAUGAUGUCACUUUCUCUAGGAUCUCAGGUACUUUAUAUGAGGAAGUAAACUAUUUUUCUAUUUUAUAUUGAUGUUUAGAAUAUUUUCAUGGAAGCUGGAAGUUGCGACAUUAUGUUCAAAUGACUUCCAAAUCGUAUCUCCGCUGUGACAUAUGGACCCAUAUUUCCAGGUGGCUUCAUGGGACUGUUAGCUUGCUGAACUAAACCAUAUUUAAGGAGCCAGACAUAAACUUCAAACACAGCAUGUCCAAAACAAAAUGCAUUUUUCUCUUAGGCCUAUUCUCUUUUUUUGUCUUCCUAAAUUCCAUUUGAUGGUGUUAUCAUUCACGCAAUCCUCAAAACAUUAUGAUUAAUCUUAGCUCCUCUUUCCUCUUCAUUACUCACAACCAAGAGGCCAAUAAAUCCUUCUGCUUCUACCUUUGGUCUGUUAUCUGGAAUUUGGUCUUUGCCUCAUUGCCAACUUUGAGAUUAAAGCCUCUUCAUCCUACACCUGAAUUAUUUCAGUCGGAUUUUAUUUCUCUUCACCAGUUUACUUUCCCUUCUGGUCCAUUUUUCACGGUGCUAUCAGCAUGAACUUUCCAGAAAAAAAAUGCCAUCAUGUCUUUCCUCUUUUGAAAGGCCUUCCCAAGACCCUCCUUAUCUAUUCAAAAAAUGUCUCAAUAAAAACAUUUUUAAGAAGAUGUUCCAAAGCC